rnacentral:rRNA from 1 species
GAUCGGCCACAUUGGAACUGAGACACGGUCCAAACUCCUACGGGAGGCAGCAGUGGGGAAUAUUGCACAAUGGGCGAAAGCCUGAUGCAGCAACGCCGCGUGAGUGAUGAAGGCCUUCGGGUCGUAAAACUCUGUCCUCAAGGAAGAUAAUGACGGUACUUGAGGAGGAAGCCCCGGCUAACUACGUGCCAGCAGCCGCGGUAAUACGUAGGGGGCUAGCGUUAUCCGGAUUUACUGGGCGUAAAGGGUGCGUAGGCGGUCUUUCAAGUCAGGAGUGAAAGGCUACGGCUCAACCGUAGUAAGCUCUUGAAACUGGGAGACUUGAGUGCAGGAGAGGAGAGUGGAAUUCCUAGUGUAGCGGUGAAAUGCGUAGAUAUUAGGAGGAACACCAGUUGCGAAGGCGGCUCUCUGGACUGUAACUGACGCUGAGGCACGAAAGCGUGGGGAGCAAACAGGAUUAGAU